UACGUAGGGUGCAAGCGUUAUCCGGAAUUAUUGGGCGUAAAGCGCUCGUAGGCGGUUUGUCGCGUCUGCUGUGAAAACUGGGGGCUCAACCCCCAGCCUGCAGUGGGUACGGGCAGACUAGAGUGCGGUAGGGGAGAUUGGAAUUCCUGGUGUAGCGGUGGAAUGCGCAGAUAUCAGGAGGAACACCGAUGGCGAAGGCAGAUCUCUGGGCCGUAACUGACGCUGAGGAGCGAAAGCAUGGGGAGCGAACAGG
rnacentral:rRNA from 1 species